ensembl:lncRNA
CUGAAGUUACAACUUUCUAAUGCUUCUAACUUUGUCACUGAGGAUCAUUUGACAUGGAAAUAUCCCAGAAUUCACAGCACAGUCGUUAUGUUUAACUGGUGUACGUGGUGAGUUUAAAAUAGGUGGAGUUCAACAGGAGCAGCAUCAUUACUGUUAUUAGAUCCACCUGUGUGUUCCCUGCAAUGCCCAGGCAGCAAACACUUAACAGGUCCGGUGUGUUCCUGCACCAACAUCACUAAGACACAUUCCUAUGCACAUGAUGAUGCCGUGAUGUUAACCAGACGUCCAACCCAUCAUCUAAUAUUGUUACAAAUAGCCUCCCAAAUAAAUCACAUUUUCCCCAUUUGUGCCUCUGGAUCAUAUACAUGGAGCAUCUGUCUGUACAUAAGAAUGCAGAAAAUCUAAUUCCUCCAGUGUUUGCUGUGUCACAUGCUGCGUCUGGCCUCCUGCAUGUGGACCGUUUCAUUUUACCCCUGUGGGAAUUGAAAACAAUCACGUUACAGUGGAG